rnacentral:rRNA from 1 species
UGGGAUUAUGACUGAACGCCUCUAAGUCAGAAUCCUUGCUGAAGAUGCGACGAUAUUCACCUCUUCUGAUGCUACGCGUAUCGCGAUAGGCUUCGGCCCAGCAUCAUACGUUAUCAUCAUUUCAAUCAUUAGAAGAGAUAAAUCCUCUGUAGACGACUUUGAUAUGGAACGGGGUAUUGUAAGUGUGAGAGUAGGCUUUGUCCUACGAUCCACUGAGAUUCAGCCUCUUGUUCC